rnacentral:tRNA from 1 species
AAAGGGAGACCUAAUUCAGGUAGGAGACGAAAAAAAAGUAGUCCCUACCAAGAAUCAAUCCCAAAAGGUCGGAGCGAGGCGAAAUUGGCUUUCAAACUAGGUUCUGGGUUCACACAAGACCUGAAUCAGGAACAAGGGCUAUUAGCUCAGGUGGUUAGAGCGCACCCCUGAUAAGGGUGAGGUCCCUGGUUCGAGUCCAGGAUGGCCCACCUGCACAGGUGGCAAAAACAAAAAAGCUCCGAAUCAGCACCUUAUCUUACUCAUAUAGUAAGAGAGAAUGCUGGCUCUGAGUUCAGAGUCCAGAGGAACCUUGAAAACUGCAUAGAGCUAGGUGAAAAAGCCAAAAAAGAAGACCGUCAG